AAUAGAUACCCUGGUAGUCCACGCCGUAAACGGUGGGCGCUAGGUGUGGGGCACUUUCCACGUGCUCUGUGCCGCAGCUAACGCAUUAAGCGCCCCGCCUGGGGAGUACGGCCGCAAGGCUAAAACUCAAAGGAAUUGACGGGGGCCCGCACAAGCGGCGGAGCAUGCGGCUUAAUUCGAAGCAACGCGAAGAACCUUACCAAGGCUUGACAUAUAGGGAAAUCUCAUAGAGAUAUGAGGUCCGCAAGGGCCCUAUACAGGUGGUGCAUGGUUGUCGUCAGCUCGUGUCGUGAGAUGUUGGGUUAAGUCCCGCAACGAGCGCAACCCUCGUUCUAUGUUGCCAGCACGUAAUGGUGGGGACUCAUAGGAGACUGCCGGGGUCAACUCGGAGGAAGGUGGGGAUGACGUCAAAUCAUCAUGCCCCUUAUGUCUUGGGCUGCACGCAUGCUACAAUGGAUGGUACAGAGGGUUGCGAUCCGUAAGGUGGAGCGAAUCCCGACAAAGCCAUUCUCAGUUCGGU
rnacentral:rRNA from 1 species